rnacentral:rRNA from 1 species
AGAGCGAACGCUGGCGGCAGGCCUAAUACAUGCAAGUCGAACGGACCCUUCGGGGUUAGUGGCGGACGGGUGAGUAACACGUGGGAACGUGCCCUUUGGUUCGGAACAACUCAGGGAAACUUGAGCUAAUACCGGAUGUGCCCUUCGGGGGAAAGAUUUAUCGCCAUUGGAGCGGCCCGCGUCUGAUUAGCUAGUUGGUGGGGUAAAGGCCCACCAAGGCUACGAUCAGUAGCUGGUCUGAGAGGAUGAUCAGCCACACUGGGACUGAGACACGGCCCAGACUCCUACGGGAGGCAGCAGUAGGGAAUCUUGCGCAAUGGGCGAAAGCCUGACGCAGCCAUGCCGCGUGAAUGAUGAAGGUCUUAGGAUUGUAAAAUUCUUUCAGCGGGACGAUAAUGACGGUACCCGCAGAAGAAGCCCCGGCUAACUUCGUGCCAGCAGCCGC